AGGUGAAAAGCACUUCGAACAGAAGAGUGAAAUAGUCCCUGAACCCAUACGCCUACAAGCAGUCGGAGCCGCUUCGUGCGGUGACGGCGUGCCUUUUGCAUAAUGAGCCUACGAGUUACUCAUCACCAGCGAGGUUAAGUACUUCAGGUACGUAAGCCGAAGCGAAAGCGAGUCUGAAUAGGGCGUCAAGUUGGUGGUGGUAGACGCGAAACCUUAGUGAUCUACCCAUGGGCAGGGUGAAGGUUUGGUAACACAAACUGGAGGCCCGAACCGGUAAACGUUGAAAAGUUUUCGGAUGACCUGUGGGUAGGGGUGAAAGGCCAAUCAAACUGGGAAAUAGCUCGUACUCUCCGAAAUGCAUUUAGGUGCAGCCUCUGUUGUUUUGUUCUAGAGGUAGAGCUACUGAUUGGAUGCGAGGGCUUCACCGCCUAUCAAAUCCGGCCAAACUCCGAAUGCUAGAACAUGAAGACAGGGAGUGAGCCAGCGGGUGCUAAGGUCCGUUGACGAAAGAGGGAGAACUCAGACCAUCAGCUAAGGUCCCCAAUUAUAUGCUAAGUUGGAAUUAAAACGGGGUGGGACUGCUUAGACAGCUAGGAUGUUGGCUUGGAAGCAGCCAUUCAUUUAAAGAGUGCGUAACAGCUCACUAGUCGAGCGGUCCUGCAUGGAUAAUACGCGGGCAUAAGCAUAUAACCGAAGCUAUGGGAUUGUAGAUGAUACAAUCGGUAGGAGAGCAUUCCAUUCAGCAUAGAAGCAGUACCGUGAGGUAUUGUGGAGCGGAUGGAAAAGCAAAUGUAGGCAUAAGUAACGAUAAUGCGGGUGAGAACCCCGCACGCCGAAAGAUCAAGGAUUCCCCGGCAAUGUCAAUCAUCCGGGGGUAAGUCGGAUCCUAAGGGUAAGCCGAGUGGCGAUCCCGAUGGCAAACAGGUUAAUAUUCCUGUACUGAUCAUAACUGCGAUGCAGCGACGCAGAGGUGACACUGCUGCGUACUGACGGAAUAGUACGUUGAAACCCGUAUUCUUUGAUACCGGUAGUGAAGCACGCCGGUAGAGAUGAAAGGUGAUAGUACCGCAAUGCUUCGGUUGCGCGGAUAACGCAGGUAAGCUGACUGCCAAGAAAACCUGCUAAGCUUCAGGUAAUGAUCAUCCGUACUGUAAACGGACACACGUGAUCAGGUAGAAAAUACUAAGGCGCUCGAGAGAUUCAUGGUUAAGGAACUAGGCAAAAUGGUCCUGUAACUUCGGGAUAAAGGACGCUCUUGUGAAAGAGCCGCAGAUAAUAGGCCCAGGCGACUGUUUACCAAAAACACAUGGCUAUGCUAAUUCGCAAGAAGAUGUAUAUGGCCUGACACCUGCCCGGUGCCGGAAGGUUAAGAGGAGAGCUCAGGAGCAAUCCGAAGGUUUGAAUUGAAGCCCCGGUAAACGGCGGCCGUAACUAUAACGGUCCUAAGGUAGCGAAAUUCCUUGUCGGGUAAGUUCCGACCUGCACGAAUGGUGUAACGAUCUGGGUACUGUCUCAACCAUGAGCUCGGUGAAAUUGUAGUUCCGGUGAAGAUGCCGGAUACCCGCAACGGGACGGAAAGACCCCGUGAACCUUUACUGCAGCUUUGCAUUGAUUUUGGGUAACAGAUGUGUAGGAUAGGUCGGAGGCUUUGAUGCUGCGUCGUCAGGCGUAGAGUAGCCGUCGUUGAAAUACGACCCUUUUGUUAUCUGAGGUCUAAUCCCGUUAGGGAGACAUUGCAUGGUGGGUAGUUUGACUGGGGUGGUCGCCUCCAAAAGUGUAACGGAGGCUUCUCAAGGUACCCUCAAGGCGUUUGGUAAUCGUCUGCAGAGUGCAAUGGCAUAAGGGUGCUUGACUGUGAGACCGACACGUCGAUCAGGUUGGAAACAAGAGCAUAGUGAUCCGGUGGUUCCGCAUGGAAGGGCCAUCGCU
rnacentral:rRNA from 1 species